rnacentral:rRNA from 1 species
UACGUAGGUGGCAAGCGUUGUCCGGAUUUACUGGGCGUAAAGAGCGCGCAGGCGGUCGUACAAGUCGCGUGUGAAAGCCCCCGGCUCAACUGGGGAGGGUCACGCGAUACUGUUCGACUCGAAGGCAGGAGAGGGAAGCAGAAUUCCCGGUGUAGUGGUGAAAUGCGUAGAGAUCGGCAGGAACACCCAGGGGGAAACCAGCGGACUGGGCAUCAGCUGACGCUCAGGUGCGACAGCGUGGGGAGCGAACCGG